rnacentral:lncRNA from 14 species
AGUUUACCUUCUGUGUCUAUUGCUUUUUUAGAACCCAUUGGAAAGAGAGACGAGCAAGAACCACUCACAAACACAGUCCAAAGUGACUCAGCAGUCAUUGGAGGUAUCAUAGCAGUGGUGACAUUUGUCACUUUUUGUGUAAUCGGAAUCAUGAUCUGCUUCCUUUAUCAACAUAAGCAGUCACACCGCACCAAUCAGACGAAGGAGAAGGAAUACCCAGAGACUUUAAGCAAUUCAUUUAGAAAUGUCAUUGACUUGCAAAACACAGCCAGCGAGUGCAAACGGGAAUACUUCAUCUGAACCAUAGCAGGAUUACCUGGUCUGCCUUUUUUAAACUGUUUUCUCUCUCUUUUCUCUUCUCUUUCCUGACUUGUAAUUUAGGGAUUCUCUUUCUCUCACUUACCAUUGAUUUUCUGGAACACACAUGAUCCACCAGAAACACCAAUCUCCUUUACCCAGCUUAUGAGCUCAGGUAGUUGUAGCUACUGUAGUCCUUUGACAUAUGUGUCAUUGUGAAAAUGACCAAUGGAGACACAGACUUUGCUAUUUUAAACAAAUAGUCACAUGUGCCUCUCUUUGUAGUCCAGUUUCUAAACUUCAC